CUUGACACUCCUUUCUAAAUAGCUUCUUUGCCACAGUGAUUGAUUCCCAUAUUUCUUGUUGGGAUUUUGUUGGCAUGUUGGUAGCCAUCUUGCAUUUGAGAAUUGAUGCAGAUAGACCCGAAUGCCAUAAGCAUUUCAUUGAGCCUCCUUGACUGUUAGUUGAUUUAGUUCUCGAGAACCUUUGCUUACACUCUUCGCCACUUCCCAAUUGUCAUUGACAAUGGAAUUUUGCUUCUACCAUGGUGACUUAUCUUGUAAACCUGAGAGUGAAUUGU
rnacentral:lncRNA from 1 species